GGGCCCGUGGCGCAGCCUGGAUAGCGCGGCAGCCUCCUAAGCUGUAGGUCGUGGGUUCGAAUCCCACCGGGCCCG
rnacentral:tRNA from 1 species